GUCCCGGGGGUGGGGCAGGAGAGGACUCUGAGAUGCCCGGGAAGGACAUUUGUCAUGCCAGCCAGACCAAGGCUGCCCCGCAGAGUGAGAGCAACAAAGGAUGCAGAUCCAGGACCAGGAUCACAGGCUUAGCUCAGCUGCUUCUAACCAGGAGCCUUGGACAGAUCACUUGGCCUCUCUGACUCUCAGUUUUUCUACCUAUAGAGUGGGGAUAAUGCAUCUUCCUUACAGGAACAAUAGAAGUGCUUUGUAAACCAUAAACAGCACAGGAAAAUGAAGGAAUAUCCUAGUCCUCUUGAGGAUUAGAGGGGGAGGGAAGAGGAGGGAAGGAAGAGAAAAAGGUAGGAAAGGAUCCAAAAUGAGGCUGAGAUUUUGAAACCCAACCUGCUGGCUUUAUAGCCAAGCUUUUCAUCAUCACUGGAAACUCAAACCUGCAGCAAUUAUAUGCUGAGGUCAUAAACGUGAUUAAAAAGGUUGUUUGCAAAGCUGAUUCCAGGGAAAUGAGCUGCAGAUGGCGGUGGCAUCAAUGUCCUUUUGCAGCAGGCAGCAGCUGGCUGUGUGGACUCAGGGACAGCUGGAAGGAGUUGUGCUAAUGCCCACCCCCAGCUUUGGAAGGCGGGGGCAAGCUGACUGCCCUCUCUGUGCCUGGGGACAGGGGAGACUUGCAGAGAGCUGAAACCCUAAGCCAUAAAACCGCCAUUUGUUCCAGAGAGAAAAGCCAGUUUUUCAAUUCCAGCCCAACCAGGAGGGUGGGCCAAGCUCAGAGAAAGAAGAGUGGACUGAGAGCACGAGUCCUUCCACGGCAGCCUGCCUCGGGCGGGACAGGCUGCAGUGGCUCUGGCUGUCCACUGGGAGUGUCCUUGGUGAGGGAGGAAAGAAGGCAAAGCCACAUCUGAAGUCUCUCGGCCAGAAGAACCCUCUGUUCUGAGGCCAACAGGUAGCCCUGGUAUAAGGAGAAGGUGGAAAAUACAGGCACCAGAACCUUCUCUGCUGCUUAUGGCUUCAUAGAAUGUUUUGCAGGUGACAUUUCACAUAAGUGGGCACCAGCCUGUCUGUCUUUGAUGGAAAGACAUCAGGAGGCAGGACCCAGGUCUCUGUCAGUGGCUUCCUGUCAGAGUGGCCAACACGGGAUACUUAAAAAUGUGAAGAAGGAGACGUCGAUCAGGAUAAUACAAUGAGCCCUUGGCCCAAAUUUGGGAAGGGCCCUCUCUUUUGAUGUAUCUCACUACCUCAGCUGCCAUCCCUCUCCUGGUCACUUCUACCCAUGCUUCAGCCACAGCCCCACUUACUCCAGGAAGCCCUCCCUGAUGAGUCACCUGCAGCAACCUCCUGUCCUGCAGAUCCUCACCCCGUACUGCUCACUGCCUUGGCUGCUGCUCCCAAUCACUCAUAUGCGUGCCCAUGUCUGUCUGACAACUGGGCGCUCCCUAAUGGCAGAAGCACAUCCAUAUGACAUUUCUCAAAUGUUCCCUAUAGUACAGGGAACCCAGAGCACGUCCAAUGACGUUGGGAUGUGAGCCUGCAGAGCUUUUCACAAAUUUGCAGAACAAGCUGUGUCCUUCAGCAUCAUUACCUGCCCUCCCCCUCCGACUGAACCUGGAGAAGAGUCAACAGCCUGCUACCAAAAAUCCCCCACAGCCCGGACUCGGAUGAUUCGCCUACAAAGGCUGGGGAGCACAGUCCCAGGCUUACUAAUCUCCUCUCUACCCCAUCCCCAUUUUUUCCAGUCCCCAGAAAGUCCCAAUCAAUCUCUCAGCAAAUUCCACAGGAUCUGUCAGAUUCAGAUCCAGUCAACUGCAGGCCGAGUGCUCUUCGCAUCUCAUCUUAUCUACUGCAGGAAGCAACCUGAGGGCAGCAAAGAGGAAGACAGCUGGUAUGAACGGGCUCUGAAACCUACCAGCUGUGCGGCCCAGAGAAAGCUACCUAACCUCUCUGAGCUUCAGCUGCUUCAGCUGUAAAAUGCUACAGGUCACCACUGUCUGGGUUGUUUGCUACUACCUUCUGCUGCUGCCUGAGAAAACCUGGGAGACUGUGAUCACAUUUUUUUUCCUGUAGAGCUGCCCGAAUACAGCUCUUCUCAAAGCCUUGCAGCAGAGAUGAUACAGCCAUCAGCAGCUGAUCCUGGAAUGAGUGUUGAGAGCAGCACAGACCACUCUACGUUUCUGCUCUGACCACAGGUCUGGCCUAGAAUUUGCCCCUCCACUGCACAAUGCAGGUAAAAACCUUUAAAAAAAUAAAUAAAUGGUCUCUGAGCCUCCCAGAAAUACAGCACUUAGAAUGUUGUUUUUGGAGGGGGCAUGUGAUAAAGAAUGGG
rnacentral:lncRNA from 1 species